UUUUUAUUCAAUAUAAAAAUGUAGUCACCAAUUUAGCAUAGGAUAUGGAUUACAGAACAAAAGUCCUACGCGUUUCGUUCUGUAUGAACUUCCUCAGGGACCACAAUUAAAAUAAUAACAAUGUAUCAAUACACAGUACAAAGAUAAACAUGCCUGCUCACUGUUUAGUAGACAUGCUCCUACCCACGCCAUGGUGGGUGGGGGCAUAAGGCAGGAUUAAAAUCUAUCUAAGCUAA